rnacentral:rRNA from 1 species
UCGGGAAUUUUGGGCAAUGGGGGAAACCCUGACCCAGCAACGCCGCGUGAAGGAUGAAGUAUUUCGGUAUGUAAACUUCGAAAGAAUAGGAAGAAUAAAUGACGGUACUAUUUAUAAGGUCCGGCUAACUACGUGCCAGCAGCCGCGGUAAUACGUAGGGUGCGAGCGUUAAUCGGAAUUACUGGGCGUAAAGUGUGCGCAGGCGGCCGAGCAAGUCGAGUGUGAAAGCCCCGAGCUUAACUUGGGAAUUGCGCUCGAAACUACUUGGCUGGAGUGUGGCAGAGGAGGGUGGAAUUCCACGUGUAGCGGUGAAAUGCGUAGAGAUGUGGAGGAACACCGAUGGCGAAGGCAGCCCUCUGGGCCAACACUGACGCUCAUGCACGAAAGCGUGGGGAGCAAACAGGAUUAGAUACCCCCGAGUCCCUGAGCGGGCUGGCAAGGCGCAU